rnacentral:lncRNA from 1 species
GGACUCUCUGUUUCACAGCCCCCUGGGAAGUCCCUCACUGGCCACUCGGUGGGCCCCAGCUCUGCCCUCCCAGGUGAUCCCUACAGCUCCGUGGACUUCUCGGAGAUCAGCCCCUCGGCCUCCAGUGACUCUGGGGAGGGCACCUCGGUGAGGGUUCCCUCUGGUUCCCCUACGUCAUCCCAAGAUCGUGGGACCACGCUGCUCCCAGAACACGGUGGCCUGGGAUUCCCAGUAAGAGCCAGGCUGGUGGGAAUGGUGACCAUCUCCACUUCAGCCCAAGGAAGAGAACUUGUAGGCAGGGUCCUUCCCCCGUGAACGGCAGGAUUCAGGACAGGCUGGCGCGGCUGGCCUGUGAGAAGAGGCUGCAAGAAGGGGUGACCAAAGGCACACUUAAUGGGGACC